GUCCCUUUAGCGCAAUGGAUAGCGCGCGCGCGAGUUGAACUUCUAAUCCAAAGGUCGUGGGUUCGAAUAUCACAUGGGAUG